rnacentral:rRNA from 1 species
UCGUACCUACGGCGCAGCAGUGAGGAAUAUUGAUCAAUGGUCGGGAGACUGAACCAGCCAAGCCGCGUGAGGGAUGAAGGUACAGAGUAUCGUAAACCUCUUUUGUCAGGGAACAAAGGCGGGGACGCGUCCCCGGAUGAGUGUACCUGAAGAAAAAGCAUCGGCUAACUCCGUGCCAGCAGCCGCGGUAAUACGGAGGAUGCGAGCGUUAUCCGGAUUUAUUGGGUUUAAAGGGUGCGCAGGCGGUCUGUUAAGUCAGCGGUCAAAGCCCGGGGCUCAAACCCGGCCCGCCGUUGAAACCGGCG